CUGGGAAAGACCAGAGAUCCUGCUGUCUCUGCAACAUCAAUCCAGGCACAGAGCGCCGCAAGAUGGAUUGGUGUUGUUGAUCCAACAGGUUCU
rfam:Dengue virus type 4 recombinant clone rDEN4, complete sequence.